UACGUAGGGGGCAAGCGUUGUCCGGAAUCAUUGGGCGUAAAGAGCGUGUAGGCGGCCCGAUAAGUCCGCCGUGAAAGUCCAGGGCUCAACCCUGGGAUGCCGGUGGAUACUGUCGGGCUCGAGUCCGGAAGAGGAGUGUGGAAUUCCUGGUGUAGCGGUGAAAUGCGCAGAUAUCAGGAAGAACACCCGUGGCGAAGGCGGCUCUCUGGGACGGUACUGACGCUGAGACGCGAAAGCGUGGGGAGCGAACAGG
rnacentral:rRNA from 1 species